UGCGAGUGAAGCGGCAAGAGCUCAAAUUUGAAAUCUAGUACCUUUGAGUGCUCGAGUUGUAAUUUGGAGAGGCAACUUCGAAGGAGGCGCUGGCCUAUGUUCCUUGGAACAGGACGUCACAGAGGGUGAGAAUCCCGUGCUUGGCUGGCUGUCCUCCUUCAUGUGAAGUGUCUUCGACGAGUCGAGUUGUUUGGGAAUGCAGCUCAAAAUGGGUGGUAAACUCCAUCUAAGGCUAAAUAUUGGCGAGAGACCGAUAGCGCACAAGUAGAGUGAUCGAAAGAUGAAAAGCACUUUGAAAAGAGAGUUAAAAAGUACGUGAAAUUGUUGAAAGGGAAGCGCUUGAGACCAGACUCGGUGGUUGGUGAUCAGCGGUUGCUUUUGCUCCGUGCACUUGCCUUUCACUGGGCCAGCAUCAGUUGUGACGGUGGGAUAAAGGCUCAGGGAAUGUGGCUCCCUUUGGGGAGUGUUAUAGCCCUGGGUGUAAUGCCACCUGUUGCGACUGAGGACCGCGCUUCGGCUAGGAUGCUGGCAUAAUGGUCUUCAGCGACCCGUCUUGAAACACGGACCAAGGAGUCUAACAUCUAUGCGAGUGUUCGGGUGUAAAACCCCUACGCGUAAUGAAAGUGAACGGAGGUGGGAACUCUUCGGAGUGCACCAUCGACCGAUCCUGAUGUCUUCGGAUGGAUUUGAGUAGGAGCAUAGCUGUUGGGACCCGAAAGAUGGUGAACUAUGCCUGAAUAGGGUGAAGCCAGAGGAAACUCUGGUGGAGGCUCGCAGCGGUUCUGACGUGCAAAUCGAUCGUCAAAUUUG
rnacentral:rRNA from 1 species